GACACUAUGGCCGAGUGGUUAAGGCGACAGAUUCGAACGCGUCCGACUAUUUGACCAUCUGUUUCCCUCUGGGAGCGCAGGUUCAAAUCCUGCUGGUGUCG